rnacentral:rRNA from 1 species
GGACUACUCGGGUUUCUAAUCCUGUUUGCUCCCCUUGCUCUCGCGCCUCAGCGUCAGGUGUAAACUAGAAAACCGCUUUCGCCACUGGUGUUCUUCCACAUAUCUACGCAUUUCACCGCUACACGUGGAAUUCCGUUUUCUCCGUCAACCCUCUAGAUUGAUAGUUUCAAAUGCAGCUCCUAGGUUGAGCCCAGGAAUUUCACAUCUGACUUAUCUAUCCGCCUACGCGCCCUUUACGCCCAAUAAUUCCGAUUAAUGCUUGCACCCUACGUAUUACCGCGGCUGCUGGCAC